AGGCGAGAUGAGUGCUAGUGUUGGAGGGUUUCCGCCCUUCAGUGCUGCAGCAAACGCAUUAAGCACUCCGCCUGGGGAGUACGACCGCAAGGUUGAAACUCAAAGGAAUUGACGGGGGCCCGCACAAGCGGUGGAGCAUGUGGUUUAAUUCGAAGCAACGCGAAGAACCUUACCAGGUCUUGACAUCCUUUGACCACUCUAGAGAUAGAGCUUUCCCUUCGGGGACAAAGUGACAGGUGGUGCAUGGUUGUCGUCAGCUCGUGUCGUGAGAUGUUGGGUUAAGUCCCGCAACGAGCGCAACCCUUAUUGUUAGUUGCCAUCAUUUAGUUGGGCACUCUAGCGAGACUGCCGGUGACAAACCGGAGGAAGGUGGGGAUGACGUCAAAUCAUCAUGCCCCUUAUGACCUGGGCUACACACGUGCUACAAUGGGAAGUACAACGAGUCGCUAGACCGCGAGGUCAUGCAAAUCUCUUAAAGCUUCUCUCAGUUCGGAUUGCAGGCUGCAACUCGCCUGCAUGAAGCCGGAAUCGCUAGUAAUCGCGGAUCAGCACGCCGCGGUGAAUACGUUCCCGGGCCUUGUACACACCGCCCGUCACACCACGAGAGUUUGUAACACCCGAAGUCGGUGAGGUAACCUUUUUGGAGCCAGCCGCCUAAGGUGGGAUAGAUGAUUGGGGUGAAGUCGACGGGGGGGCCCCCCAAAAAAAAAUUUUUAACGCACGGGUUUUUAGGGGCGAAGAAGGGUAAUUUUAAGGUUCCAAAAAGGGGGGGGUGGGCGCCGGGGGGGUUCCCCCCCGGGGUAUGUUGGCUAUUUCCGGGGGGUCCACGGGGGGGAGUCCACCCCCCCGCGUUUUGGGGCCGUGGGGACGCCGCCCGUGGGCGGGGGGGGCGCGGCGCGGGGGGGGGGGGGGGGGGGGGGUUUUCCCACUAAGGGGGGUUGAAGAAGGCGGGGGGGGGGGGGGCGAGGGGGUGGCCGGCCCCAAAUAGAGGGGGGGGGGAAGGGGGGGGGGGGGCCCCCGAGCGAUGUUAUGGGGGGGGGGGGGGGGGGGGGGAGGCAAAAAUAUGACCCGGGGGGGGGUUUUGGGGGGGUUGAAGAAAACCGCCGCGGGGGGGGGGGGCGUGUUUGGGGUUUAAAAAAGGGGCUGGGGGGGGGGGUGUUUUUUUGGUAAAAAAAAGAAGAAGGUGUUUUUUUUUGGUGCCCCGCCGCAGAAAAACCUUUGGUUUGUUUUUUAGCUUGCUGGGGGGGGGGGGGGGUUGGUUGGGGGGUGGGGAGGGAAAAAAAAAAAUUUUGUGUUCCCCCGUUUUUGG
rnacentral:rRNA from 1 species